GUUGAGGUAGCCGAUUGGUCCAAAGCUGAGCCAUUAAGGCUGUCUUCUGAAGAGGCGUGGGUUCGAAUCCCACUCUCACCA
rnacentral:tRNA from 1 species